rnacentral:lncRNA from 1 species
UUCACUCUCAGUCUGGGUAGGGACUGACUGCCCCACCUCCUCCAUAGAGGUCUCCUUGCACCCUGGAGGCUGGUGGGUCAGAUGAGGGCAGGAGGCCAGAUGUGCCCAAGGUCACCUCCCAGGUGGAUCAUUUCAGGUAUCCUUAUGGGGCUACGUGUGGCAGGAGACCUCCUGGGACUUCAGCCCUUUUCUCUUGGGAAGUGACCAGGAAGCCCUGGGGCGCACAGGCUGACCAAGCUAGAAGACCUAGUUUCUCCCCAAGUCCCUCCCCAGUCCCGACGCAAAAGGUCACCCUGCCAGCAUCGGGCCCAGCCAGGUUCACAGGGCCCCAGAGAUUAGAUCUCAAAAGGCCAGUAUCUGGGCACUGGAGAUGCCACCUCUACCUAGGAAGUAGGAACAGCCAUUAGAAGACAGAGGUGUAGUGAGGGGUUCUUUGGGGUUAGUAGGAGUUCUCCAGCUAGGUCCUUCAGCUCACUGACUUGCAGGGGGGCGGGGCACAGAACUCCAGUUGGUGUCACCUGGGUGGUGGGUAGUGAGCUCACAACCCUGGCUUUUCUGCCUGGCUCCCAUCUAGAGUUGGGCCUGGAGAGGACUAUGACCAGGCAGAGACCCAGGCCAGAGAGGAGAGGGAGUCAGGGAGGCACGGCUCCCCCGAAGAGGAAGCUGCCCUGGCAAGGCUGGAGCUGGGUCCCUUCAGCCCCUUGGCCCUUGGCCCCUCUGCAGCCCAGGAGGGGUGCUGGAAACCCAGGGCAUGGAGUCUCACCUUGAGUGCAAAGCCUGUGUCUUCAGGAGCUUCAGGGACACUGGUCAGAGCUGGGCUACCAAAGACAGGCCACAGCGCUCCAGCCUGCUCACCGCUUCCUGCCUUUGCCUCGGGCACCCCACCUCCCAAGCCUGUUUCUACACCUGUACAAUGGGCAUCAAAAUAAUACUGGAGGGCCAGGGAUUUAGCUCAGUGGUUCCACCACCUGCCUUGCAAGCACAAGGUCCCAAGUUUGAUCCCCGGUACCAAAAAAAAAUAAUAAUAAUACUGGAGCCUCAUGUGCUCUCGGGUUAUUGACCAGAGAGGUACUGUGAUCUGGCCAAGGACACACAGCAAUCAGAGCAGGCUAGGGUGACCCCUCCUUGGCACUGCCCGCUCUGUUUGAGGAAGCAGGGUGGGCCGGCCCCAUUACAAGGGUCCCUAUAAGAUGGUGUGAGGAGGAUUAAUAAUGUAUUUAUAACACAUCGUUGUGGUAGCUGAAAAUGAUCUAUAAAUGUGCGGUAAAUGUUUUAUAAUGUUUUUGUAACCCGUUAUAAAUGAUAAAUGGUAGACUAUAGAUGCCGGAUCAAAUAUUUAUAACGCAUUGUGCAUUGUACACUGCCUGCUACAGUUCAGGAAAGCCAUUAAUAAUAAAGUGG